rnacentral:rRNA from 1 species
ACCUACGGGGGGCAGCAGUGAGGAAUAUUGGUCAAUGGGCGGAAGCCCGAACCAGCCAAGUCGCGUGAGGGAAGAAGGCCCUGCGGGUCGCAGACCUCUUUGGACGGGGAGCAAGGCCGCCGACGUGUCGGCGGAAGGAGAGUACCCGUAGAACAAGCAUCGGCUAACUCCGUGCCAGCAGCCGCGGUAAUACGGAAGGUCCGGGCGUUAUCCGGAUUUAUUGGGUUUAAAGGGAGCGUAGGCCGGCUUUUAAGUCAGCUGUGAAAGUCCG